UUUCUGGAGAUGGUCUACUGCAAAUUCAGCUCAGCCAGACAGAAUCCAGCCACUGCAGUUACACAAAAGCAGCUUGGUACCUCACCCAAUCUCUCCCUCCAAGGAAGAAAAUGCUCCCUUCCCUACCCACUGAGGUUGGAAGGGGUGUCCAGAGAAAUGCCUUGGGAGUCCUUUUGACCCACCCCCCAACCCAAUUCAAAACCCUAUCAUCCCCAAAGUUCUCUUGGAAGUGGUGUGUGAAAAAUGAAAAGUGGCUGAAAUGUGGAGGGCAACUGCACUCUGGAGCUCGCUCGCGGCUGUGCCAUCAUAGAUCUUCUGAAUGGGGGUUGACAAGUAAGGUAAAGCCCAAACGGAGGGAAGGAAGGGGCUUUAGGGCUGGAAAGUAAAGCCUGCGGAGUCCCUUCUUGGGGCUGCAACGUGGACUCUCCUGCUCCCAUCAGAAGAGCUGUGUAUACAGCCUAAGAACUCGGUACCCACAAAGGAGGGACUAAAGCUCUGUACGUCACUCUAGUUCCUAUAGCUAAAAGAUGCAGGGCACAUCUCAGCCUGGCUUGUGAGAGUAUGUGUUCAGGUAUGUGUGCGAAAGAUGAAAGAGAAGGAAGAGAGAAAUAGUGCAUGCAUGAAAGUAUUGUGUAUUAAAAGACACUCCACUGUUACUCACAUGCAUUUAUGCCAAUGUCGCAUUCCCAGUGCUCUUCAUCAAGCCAGUCCUUCAAACUCGCCCUGUACUCAAAGGCUUAAAGUGGGAUGGUCUCUUGCACACCACCUUUACAGCUCCCACCCCCCUGCUAACCCUCUGAGUUUCUUCUGCUUUUUUUCUUCUUUUAAAAAACCCUCAUUAAACGUCCCUUUAACUUCCUUUGUUUGUUUGUUUUUGGUGAUUUUGUGGCUGUUUGUUUAAACCAUCACGUUAUAGACAUUAAAAGAUACAUUUAGAUGCUUAAUCCCCCUUUAGAAAUGCAACGCCAGCGAAGACGGUUAUUAAGACAUUUGGAAUUUAUCGGUUAAAAAAAACUGUUUAGCACUUGGUUUGAGUUAAAAGCAUGUUAGUGUUAUUAGCUGGUUAAUAAAUUAAGAUUUAAAGCGACCUCAUCCUUUCCUUUCUUUUUUUGUCUUGUUGCUGCUACGCUUCUUCCUUCCCCAUGGAGUUUAAAGUGUUAAAGGUGCAGCUCUCGGUUUGGCACAGAGCAGGGGUCACUCCCUGCCCAACACACUUCCCGGGACCUUCACAAGCAGAGGCCAUGGCAAAGCUGCUCCCCACCCUCCCUAGUGCUGGAGUAUCACCAAGACGAUGCAUAAGAGCAGUGGCACUUCUCUUGGUGCGAGGCACCACCCAGAAAUGUAUGCAAGAGCUACGUGCAGCUAGAGACAAUCUAUCUACUGCCCAUGGAGUCUCUUUCCAGAUGUGGCAACGCGCAGCAGGAAGCCUGUGCCUUGAAAUGAGGAAACUGAUCAAUAAACAAUGAAGUCAUAUUGGAUCCCAUGAUGUCACCUAGAAGUUGUGAUACAUCGGUGGGACUCUGCUGAGGAGGCACUUGGGCCGGGUCCUCAGAGCCUUCCCUCUGCUCCCGAACGCCCAUCGCUGUAUUUUUAGCAACACAAGGUUGGAAUCACACACAAUGCGCCAUUGAAAUGCAAGUGGGGAAGCUCCCUCGGCAGGGCAAUAUGGACACCCCCUUUUCAAAUGCCCACCCCCCAUUUGCUGUCUUCCCAUCAUGAAAUGACAUUGGUAAAUUUUCCACUUUGGGCCAAAAGGUGCCUGGCAGGUUUAAGCUAAUCAAAGAUUUAGGGCUGGAGACAGGGAUGCCCCUAAUACCUGUUGCUGGGAAUCGCAGGUGGGGAGAGCUCUGCUGCUCUGUCACUCAGGUCCUUUUGCUUAAAGGGGCUUCCCUUUGGGGCACCUGGUUGGCUAUUCUGAGAACAUGAUUCUGAGCUUUGGCCUGAUCCAGCAGGCUCUUCUGAAGUUCUUGUGCAACCUCCAGCCCCAGAUGCAGUCUAGCUUCCUAGCUACUUACGGUUGUUUGGCCACUGUGAAAACAGGGAUGAGCUAAAUAGGCCCCCUUUGGCCCAGUCCAGCUGCAGGGCUCUUAUACAUGUCACCACUGCUAAACCAAAGGGGAUUUGGGAACUAGAGUGUCCAACAGAAUACUUGAGAACAUCACAAAACUAUAAUUGCCUGGGGAUCUUUGCAGCAAUCUUGCCGCGGGGUUUGGCAAAUGCCCCACAACAGGAACUCCUUGACGCUUUGCAGGAAGCCAAGGAAGUUAAAUGAGCUUCAGAAGUGUCCCGAGUUGCCUCCCAAGUGGUCCUUCAGUCCCAAAGAAAACACAUUUGAGAAGGACACAAACAGUUCUGUGAAAGAGGACAUGAAGCCCCAAUCUGAAUGGCAGAGGCAAGGCUCUCAGCCUGACCUACCUGCUGGGAUGGGAGCCUUUGCACUACCCUGAGUAUGAGGAAAGACAUGCUAAAGGAGAUGACAGCUUCUGGAAGAACUGGGUGCUCGGCAUGUGCUCUGGGGCCUGGCAACCGUUAAGUCUGUGGACCAGGGGCACCCCAAAAGCUGGAAGCAAACUGCGGCAAUUGUGAUGGGUGCCACCUGCACCAUCAUCAGCCAAUAGGAUUCAUUUCCCAAAGAAGAAAACUGGAGACAAUCUGGCUGAGAAAGUCCAAGAAACCAGGGUGGAUCCAGGGCCCAGUCCUCACUCAAGCCAGGGGGCAGAGAACUCUUCUCCAGCAUCUGGAAUGCAAUCAUAAUGCAGGGAAUGCCUGAGCAUGCACAGAGCGCCUUUCGCUCAGCAGCACUGUGAUAAACACAGCUGGUCUCCACGUGUUGGGGCCACAGAUGCCCGGGGAGUGAGGCUGGCUCCUCUCCUUAAACCGAGUGUCAUCAACCCAGCCUUUUGUCACUGUGCACAGAUGCAGAGGAAAGUGGCUGUUGCAAGGAGGCAGGUGGCAUCUUUCAGCUCCAGGUGGGAAAUUGAUCAACCAUCAAAUAGCAUGGCAAAGGUAGCAGGGUCAAGGCAGCCAUGUGGAGGCAGGUGACAGUCAGUGGGAACCGGGAGCAGGGCGACUCUCGCAGAGGAUCAUCUGGUGGGUGCUGGCUCUGCAACUUCUCAGCCUUCAUAAAAGGAACCAGCAAGACUGGUUCUCCUCCGUCUCUCAGUUUUCCAGAUGGCAGAAAGUGCUCCCCACUGAGGCUACAACAGACUGCGUCCUUUGGGUGGGCCCAGGAGGAUGCCCAGAGGAAAGGACGAGAUGUACAAGCUCCGGGACCGGGAGGGAUCCUUUUGUUUCACUUCAGGGAUUCGGCCAAUAUGUUGAAGCGGAUCAGUAGGAGAAUGGAGGAACUGUUCAAGCAGGCAGCUUUAAGAAGUGUGGUGUUGUUGUUUAAGGUAAACAGCGUUUUGAAAAGAAAAAAGGGGGAAAUAUCCACCCCCCAAAACUGUGCCCUCCAUUUGGGGAGCUUGACUCAACCCCCCCAAACAAAAACUGGCACGCUCAGUUCACCACCUGCAAACAGGGUGUCCCACCCCCAAGUUCUUUAGGGGGUCUCCAGCUGUUGUGAAAUGUGCCAAGGUGAGAACUUCCCCCACCAUUUAGUACCAGUGGCUGAGAAUUUGACCCUGUUCCUUAUCUUUAUUUUGUAAUCACAUUGUAUAUGAACACACUUUGCAGGGGGUUGGAGUAGAUGGCCCUUGGGGUCCCUCCCAACUCUACAAUUCUAUGACGUAAAACCACUGAAGAAUCUAAAUUAUAACUGAAGGGUGUUAGUAAACAAACAAAACUCAUUGGAACCAUUUCAGAAUGGGGGAUUUUUAAGCCUCUGUGAAUGCAAGGCUGGUUUUCCAAGGAGAGGGUGGAUUUGCAAUUGCCGGGUGUGUGUGUGUGGGGGUGCUGCUCCACUGGGGUAGCGGCCCCUCCCCAUUUUUGCUCCUCACUCUGUUCUGCAAUUCAGCCCCUAAUUAGAGGCGGUCAGGGACUUUUCAUGCUCUCAUUAGCUUCUGUAUUAACGAGGCGAUUAACAUCUUUUAAUUAAAAAUACGCCAUCCUCAGAAAGUGACCCGAGUCUCUAAUCAGGAUCCGGCUUGGGAGGGAUUCCUGCUGCACAACCCUCACUCCGUGAGCCGGACUGUGCACUAAACACACUCCAAAGCCCCCCUCCCACCACCUCCUAUUGCAUACCCAUGGGAAGAGCAGAAGGGGGGGGGGGAAGCAAC